GGUGACGUGGUGUGAGUGGUUAGCCACGAGACUGCAAAUCUCGGCAACGUCGGUUCGAUCCCGACCGUCACCUCCA
rnacentral:tRNA from 1 species